rnacentral:lncRNA from 1 species
CCUUGGGGGGUUCUUUUCCUCCUUGAAAGAGGUGCUUUACAUCAAGAAGUCGUGGAUCGAUCUUUGAAGGAGCUUUAUAUUUAAAACCUAUAAUAUAAAUUUCAGCAGAUGCUGAACGACUAGCCAGAGGUUUGUCCACCUCAACUUUUUCAAAAAGCUGUAAAUGAAACUCAAAAGUGAGGGAUCAUUUGAUCCUUUAUACUUGAAAAUAAAACUGGGUAUAGAUGUGGAAAAAAAAAAUUGAGAUUGAUAUAGAUGUGGAAAUUUACCUGUCUUAGACAGUAAAGAACUGCAUUAUAAUCUUGAGAUCUGAAAAUCUAAAAGAGGAGACCAUAUCAGUCUACCAGACAACUCUGUUUGUAUGAGCAUGAGAAAAAGUAUUCUCAUCAGAAUACGCUCGGAAACACAAAUACAAAUAUUGAUCAUCGCCUCCCAGCAGAAAAAGGAAUGAACCUAAAAAAUGUUACUUGAGGUUGCCUUUAAGUGUAAAUACCAAUAGAUCUGAUACUAGAACCAGAUUCAACAUUGUCAAAAGAGGCCAAGGGCUUCAUUUUGGACAACUACAUGUGCAUACCAAGAGUUUUGCCAACAUAUGAGGCAGGAAGUAUGGCACAAUAAAUAAUCGGUAGGUCAUGGAAUAUAGUUAAAGCAAAGAUAAAACCCUAAGAAUUCAGCCAAAUACACCAUUGGCUUUAGAGAUGCACUCAACCAUUCAAAAAAAUACACUGAUGAAACAAUGAAAAGAAUGAUAUAUCAAGAAAAAGAUUACUAAAAGAACAUAGUUAUUGAACAGGAAAAUGACAAUGUAGUGUCUAGAUAGUUGGCAGCGAUGUAAGAUAUGUAGUGCUCAUUCCUUCAUGAGGAUCAACUUUAAAGGAUGCACUUUGGGAACCAGAAAAACUCAAACACUAGAAACUAGAAUAAAAGUGCACAGCUGUCGGGCAAGGUAAGCCAUAUGAAGGAAAUAGAAAAAUUUAAUCAGCAACUCCGUUGAAAUGAAAUUUCAAUUUUUUUUUACUGUUGUAGGCAAAUGGCUGUGUUAAACAUAGUUAGAAUCCCAACAACACAGAAUAACGUUAAUCUAAAUUCAAAAUUAGAAGUCAUAGACUACUAGAGCUUUCUGGCAUUACUCCACAUGAUUCAUACAGGCAUAAAUAACAACGAAAACAUAACAAGGCCAGUAACCAAUUACAUUAACUAAUUAAGGAACUCAUCAUCGCAGAUCCAGAAUCUGAUAUGACAAAAACACCAAGCGCAUAGUAAGACGUAAAAGGGUCUUUUCCACUUUGUCCAACAAGCAUAACAUAAUCGAAAAAGAUAGAACUUUUAGCGAAUACCUUUGUAAUAAAAGUCCCUUUUGGAGCCAACAAUUCAGUAGCAAGCUUAACCGAAUCAAUAACCAAUGAAUUCUGACUAGUAGCUUCUUUAGCCCAAGCACCACCAACAUUAGGUGAACCAUCAUGAAGAACCAAAUCAAAAGCUCUACAUCCAUUCUCAGCCAUAAGUUUCUUAAUAGUUGAACGACAUUUAGGUGUAGUGAUAUCCUGUUGAACAGAAAUAGCACCACGAAUUGGCCUAAUUGGAUCCAAAUCAACACCGAUAACAAGACUACCAACGGGUACAUGCUUAACAGCCACUUGCAUCCAACCACCAGGUGCUGCACAAAGAUCAAGUACUGAUUGUGAUGAACGUAGAAAACUGAACUUGGAAUCGAGUUGGAUAAGCUUCCAUGCUGCCCUAGAACGAUAACCUUGUUCUUUGGCAAGAUGAUAGUACUUGUCCAAACGAUGCUUUCCUUUCACCUUCCCCAUUUCAACAGAGGGUUUAACAAGUUUGCUAGGGUUUUGGCCCCUGGCCGACUUUAUAUAUGAUUUUGUAUGCUUCUCUCACGUGUUGCUCGCGUGAACAACCCAAAAGCCUAAAACAUGUAAUAGGGUAUGUAUGAGUAUUAGGGUACUUUCUUUCUUGAAAUUUGGUUGUGUUUGGUAGGAAGGAAAAUGUUUUCUUGAAAAAUAAGUGAAUUUCUAACUUAUUUUUUUAUGUUUGGUUGGUAAGUAAAAAAUGUUUUCUGGGAAAAAUAUUUUAAUAUUUGAUUGGUGAAUGAAAAAUAUUUUCUAUAAAAUAUCAUUUAUUUUUGGCAUUCUUUAGGAAAAUAAUUUCUGAUCCGAAAAUCAACUCGAUAAUUGAUUUAGGACCAAACACUGAACUAGGACAAGACCCCGAUGACCGUUCCAAAAUACGACCCUAAGAUCUGACCUAGGACCUCUGACCUAGACAUUCGAUCCAGAACCUGACCCAAAAAAUAUUUUUCAAAAAUAUUUUUUUUAAAAUAAAAUUGAUAGGGAUGGGGGAGCGGGUCAGGGUAUGUGGUGGAGUAAAAAAUGAAAUUUUAAAAAGUUGAAAUAUUUUUUCAAAACAAUUUUUUUUGUAUGUGUGGGGGGAGGGGUAGGGGUGGUAGCGGUGAGUGAGGUAAAAAAAUCUUAAAAUUUGAAAUAUUUUUAAAAAAAUAAAUUAAAGUUUUAAUUUUUUUGUUUCCGGGAGGGGGGUUGGUUUGGCGGUGUAACAUCUCGCAAAUUGAAAUAACUAGGAAGAAGCUAAUAAUUGAAAAGAGUCAUUUUUUGGAAAGAAUGAAAAUUUGGAAAUUUUGUUAAGUUAGAAUAAGUUGAGUUUUGGCCAACUUCAAACGGACAUAACUUUCAGCUCAAGAUGAGUUAGAGGUACUUCCAGAUAUGGUAGGAAAGCUCUUGGAAUGAUCUUUAGAACUCCGCUGAGUUUGCACGAUUCCGAGUUUGUAUGAGUGAGUUAUGCCCUUUGGAAGUUGGGUUGUUAGAAUAAUCCGGAUUUUGAAAGGGUAGUUUGGUCUUUUCCUUUCCCAAUUAUUUUAUUUCGAUUUUGAUAAUUAAGUUAGGGUCUAAUCAGAAUUAGAUCAGUUUACGCUUUUACCAAAAUACGCUAGGGCUUGGAGAAAAGAGAAAAGAAGAGGAGAAAGGAGAAGAGAAGCAAGAUUCGUCAAGAUUGUCGAGUUUAGCUUAUGGAUUUCAUUGGGGGUGAUCCCUACAAGGUAUGAGAGAUCACAUAGCGUUGGGUUACUUCACCCACGCACCAAUCAUGAUUCAAUUUCAGCGAAGUUUAUUAGAAUUGAAAGUAAAUCCUUGAGUUCUUGAUGAUAUUCGUUUGAAUUCUUGCGGGUUGUGUUGUUGGAGUUUUCUUGAGAUUAAUUCAUGUUUUAGUUGUGUUUUUUAGUAGAAUUGAUGCAUAUUGAGGGUAUAUAUGAUUCUAAGUGUUUGGGGAAAGAGCCAUUGAAGUUUAGAGGGUUUAGAGAUGAAAAACGAGCAAGAAAAGUCGUCAAACGUCUGGGGAAAAGGGUGGGGCAUCGCGCCAGCCACGCGCCCUAAAAGGGUCUCUGAAGUUUACCCCUUGGGGCGACGCGCCAGCCAGCGCUCCCCAGGGCAGUCUCUGAUCUUUGCCCUCUGGCGCCCCGCACCUCUCAAAGCUCCAGGGACGCCAGUCCUUCCCAUUUCUUCCCCACCUUUUAGUACUUGUUCCUUAGCAAUGUAUCUAUCUUUUCUAGUUGAUUCCAACACUCUAUGGUACAUCUAAACAUCAUGAAAUCAUCCAUAAACAUGAGAUCAUGAACCUUGAAUCCAUAAUCCAAUUCAAGGAAAGUUAAGAUCAAAGUCAAGAGAAGUUCUUAUAGUUUUCCAAAAGUCUUUUCCAAAUGUUUUAACUUUGUUUUAAGACUUAAAGUUCAAGUUAAGUAAAGAGUAAAGUUUGAAGUUCAUUUCUUCAAAGGUAUAUGGGGACUAUGUAUUCCCAAAGGGUUUAAAAUAUUUUUCACAUUUAAACAAUAAUGGAAACCUCGAUUUCCAAAGAGCCUUCGGGCUAGUUUUCAGAAAAGCGUAAUCGCUUUCUAAAUGAAGCAAGAGAGGAAACUUUGAUUUCCAAGAUAGCCUUUGAGCUAAGUUUUUGAGCACUAAUCUCAAAUCACAAAAAGAAGUAUGUUUUUAAACAUAAGAGCUAAUAUUAUAUUUUUUGGAAGUAGUAUUGAGCACCGAUAUGGAAGAGCGUUCAGACAACUCACAGCCCUCAUAAACCAUGUAGCCUUCAUGGGUAGAAAAGGGUUAUACUUUUUAGAUGAUUCCUUUAGUGCUUUUUAGCAUAGACUAGUGGAUCCACUUAGUAGUUCAGGUUCUAUACCCUCGACAAGGUAUAGGACGGCCCUGACAGCGUGAGGCAAAAUGAUGUAUCAUCACAAUAGCUCUUACGUGAUGGUUGUCGGUUAGAGAAACUCCCACAAAAGUAAUUGUAUUCUUAUACACACAGUUUAUUGUAUUUUUACAUACAUUUCAGAGUUAUAUGUAUCUUUGCAUACAAACAGAGUUGACAUCAUGUUUUAAACAACUUUUUUUAUAUUGCACUUGUUUUAACCUGCUUUAUAUUGAAAUGAGUUCAGUUAUGUUGAGUUGAGCCAGGUAAGUUCUUCAGAUUCUUUUCAAGCCUAUGUUGUGUUUAGCAUUCCAACUCGCAUACUCGUACAUUCAAUGUACUGAUGCCAGUUGGCCUGCAUCAUAUUAUGAUGCAAACACAGGUAACUAGGAUCGGCAUCCAGCGCAUCGUUGAUCCAGUGAGCACUCCAGAGUCAAUUGGUGAGCCUCAUUGCAUUCUAGAGUCCCUUUUAUUGCUUUCAGUUACUUUGUUAGUUCAUUAGGAUGUCGUGGGGUUUGUCCCGACAUCCAUCUCAGUUGUUUUAGAGGCUUCAUAGAUAGUCUAAAUGUUAGUUCUUUAGUCUUUUCAUUGACUUUAUCAUUUCAUAUAUUUAGACUUGAGUUGCCAUUUUGGCCAAGUUGAAUGUUUGACUUUUAAGCAUUCUCAGUAUUUUAUUAUUCAAGUGAGUAUAGUGCUUUUGAUCAUUAUAAAUAUGCAUAGAAUCUUCCAUUGGGUUAAGUAAGUCAGGCCAAAGGUUCGCUUGGGGUCAGUAAUGGUUCUCGAGUGUUAGUCUCGCCCAAGGUAUAGGCUCGGGGCGUGACAGGCAGUAGGGGUAAAAAUAUAUUUGAAAUUUAAAAAAAUUAUUUUUUUUGGAUGGGGAGGGUCGGGUACAUGGUACGGGGUAGGGUAAGAAAAAAAAUAUUGAAAGAUGAAAUAGAGUUUUGGAAAAUGUUUUCAUUAAUUUUUUAAGUAAAGUCAUUUUCCUUAAAUUUGAGGAAAACAAGUUGAUUUGGAAAAUAUUUUCCAAGACAUUGAAGCCAACCAAACAUGGGAAAUACCAAAACACCCUUAAAGUUAAUUAUGUUGAGAUUAGUUUCAUGUAUUAAAGUUAAUAUACAUUACAUAAUUUCUAAAAAUAAGUUUUUUGUUUAUAAGAAUAUCUUUCAUAAGUGUAAAUGAUGUGAAAAGUGAUGUAUAAAAAGGGUUUGAGGGGUAUUUUUGUUAUUUAACUAUUUUAUUGCAAGAUAAGUUAUUUCGGGAUUAUUAUUCUACUCAGAGGCAGUGAUAACUUAUCUCAAUACUAAUUAUUAAUCUUGAAAUAAGUUAUUCCAAACUUUGUAACCAAACAGGGAAUUAAGAGGUAUUAAAAAUUUAAGUCAAGAUUAUUUUUGUUUAUCCAUCAUACCAAAAGUGUCUUUAAGUUGUGAUUGCAUUUUUCUUUGAAUUUGUCACAAUCCAAUAGUACCACCUAGACGUGACAUGGUACUUAGAAUUCCGAGAGAAACUAAGCGAACUAUAUGGCGCAGUAUGACACUAAGAUAACAACAUAACUGAAAUAAAGAGAUAAGCGGAAUUGAAGUCUCAAAUAGUAAUCUCAACAUAAUAUUGAAUCAGAGUACAAAGACCAUAAUGCGGAAAUACUAUGUCUAACAACAAGCCUCUACUACAUAAGAAAGACUAAGACAAACCCUAGUUCACUUGAACAAUCUGAAAACUGAAUAAGUCUAAAAUACAUAAAAGCAUAAGUGUGACCAUGUCUCCGAAAGAUGAGGACUCACCAAAUCUGAUCAGCUGAUAGGAUCCAAUACUAACCGCGGUCUAAGUAAUAUGCAUCAGAAUCUAUAUUAUAAAAUAAUAUACGCACAAGAGAUGUAUGUGGUCAGUCCUCAGAAUGUACUGAAUAUGGAGAAAGAUGCAUGAUUAUAACAAGAUAUAUAGCAUAAUAAAUCUGAAAAACAUAAUAAUGCAAUGACCAAGUAAACAUAACUUAACUUUGAUCAUAUGAUUUCAUAAAACAUAGUAUAAGUCAUGCAUUCUUCUUUAAAUCAUUAUCAUAUCAUAAGUCUUUGAGGAAGUCAUAAGCCUUUGUGGGAAAUACCAUUAACCGACAUAAACCAUGUAAGUUAUAAUUGGAGUUCAUUGUAUUGUUCUCACACUGAAAAAGAAAGUCUUCUACUUGCCACGAUAAGGAUCAUAAUCAUAAGCUUAUGUGGAUCCACUAGCUAGAUUCAAUUAAGACUAAGUCAUACGGGGUGCUUAGUUUUGAGACAAGGAGAUUGUUACUAAAAAUGUAACACCUAAAACAGAGGCGUAUCUAAGGGGGGGAGGGGUCAUUGGGUUCACGUGAACCCAUGAUCUCCUCCCGAGAUCAUAUAUAGUAGUGUUAUAUAUUUUUUAAAAAUAUUGAAAUAUAGAUGUGUGAACCCACACUUGAAGUAUCACAUAAUGCGAUUAUGACUGGGUGCACCUCUCUCCGCGAGGUCAGAAAUUUGAAUUUUAUAUUUAUCUUGUUUUAUUUUUCUUUCUAAAAUUAGAUAACACCUCUCUAAGUGGAAAUUGGUGUGUGUAUAUAUAUAUAUAAGAAUUAAUUUUAGACCUAUAAUUUUAAAAUUUUAACGGUUUUCAAUAGUAAAACCUAAAUGUCAAACCGAUCAAAUUUAUAUCAUAGAUCAACCUUAUUAUAACAGUGCACCCAUCAUUUCAAAAUCUUAGAUUCGCCUUUGACCUCAAACCUUGAUAAGUUGAGUUGGAAAGAAAAUUCUGAAUUUUGGCUAUUGGUGCAUGUUGCACGAGCCCACCUACGGACCGUACAAGGUCAUGCGGUCUGUACGAGGGCAGUCGUCGAAGAGGUAUGAGAAAAGUUGAAAAUGUCAAGUCCUAGAAGAAUUCCUACAGACCACCAUGACAGUUUGUAGAAGUAUAUACAAUCCGUAGGAAGUGGUCAUAGGAAGGGGGUCCAAACUUGGUGAGAUUUUGAUCGACUUUUGGGUUCUACGGUUAGGACCUACAGCUCGUAGAAGGGUCUACGAACCGUAGGAAGUUUUCGUGAAAAGUGAUUGGAAUUUCAGCCUCUAGUACUUUGAUCUACGGAUGAUCAGGACGGUCCAUAAAAGCUUGUACGAACCGUAGGUCACCUCUAGCAGUUUUUAAGUUAGGGUUAUUUGGGCCAUUUCUUAUCUUUUCUACACCUAAACUAUGUCGUUUUGACCCUAUAACUAAGUCCUGUGAUUGCUUUUACUCUUCAAAACCUACCUCUUUCCCCUUAUUCACUCAAAAUCCCUCAAGAUUUUCUCUCUAAAUUGUCUCCAAGGAUUCUCUCAAGUGGAUUAGGGUUCUUCAAACUUUCAAGUCUCUUCCUCUAAUUCCAAGGCCCAAGUAUGUGGGAAAUUCAUUAAUGGAUUCUCGUUCAUCCAUUGAGCCCCAAAGAUUUCUCUAUUUCCUUCCAUGAUUUCAACCCAAAUUUCUAGGGUUUUAUAUGAUUCUUCAUGGCUUUGAUUAUUUAUGAUCCAAUCAAUUAUAUUUAAUCUUAUUAUGCAUGAUUUGAUUCAAAUUACAUGUUUUCAAAGUAUUUCAUAUGAACCCAUAUUAUACGUCUAUCUUAUGAUCAUGAGUUGAAGUUUUGAAAUUAUGCACACAUUAAGAAAUUGUAGUGACUAGUUACUAUGAUUCUAGGGUGCUUUCAAAUAAAGUAUCUCAUGAGUUACGAAAUUUGAUUGCUUCUGAAGUAUUCCUACUAUGAAAGAUUUUUGUGGCUUAGCCACCUCCGAUUGAAGUGUAGUUUUACUAAAAAAAAAGAUUAUCAUGAUUUAAAUGCUUUCAAUUAAAUGUAUAUAAAUAGAAAACGGUAUUACAAGAAAAAGGCAAUAAGAAACCAGAAAAUCUUAAGACUAAUUCAUUUCAAAAUGUGAACAACAAAAAUCACGAGCUUAAGCUGCUGCUGAAGCCUUUCCUGAGCCUUUUCCUUUUGGUUGCGUCUUCUUUUUCAUUCCAUGCUUUCUUGCAUCUUUUUUCAUUCUUGGAUCGACAAGGACCUUUCCCUUGCCAACCUUAACUUGAACUCCUUUCUUUGCCACUACAUAUUCCCUUUCUGGUUUUUUUGUUGACGACGCCUUCCUGUAUAGUUGUUCAAUCAUUUUUCUCUUUGAACCUUCAGAGAUUUCAGUUUGGUCUGAUAUUGAGUUAGCUUUCUUCCUAAACUUCUCUAGCUUUCUAUGUGCUGCCCGUUUCUUACGAGCUUUGGCUUCUGCAACCUUCUUUGCAGGCCGAGCAUCAAUUGCUUUAAAUUGAGCUCUCAUUGCAGCAAUCUCCUCUUUUGUCACGGGUUUCACUGGCUGGAAAUUUCUCUUUUCCUCAUCAAUGAACCACUUCGGCAACCCCUCAUCGUGAAACAUAUAUCUGUUGUAAACAUCAUCAAUCAUUUCUUCCCUAGGCCUUUUCUUCAGCGUCAUUUUUGCUGUAGCCAAUAUUUCAGCCUUCGUGUCAAUAUCGUCAUCAGAUUCAUCAGAUGAUGAGUCACUAGAAUCAGUAGCAGGAGCAGGAACAAUCUCAAAAUCAUCUGUCUUAGAAGCUGAGACCUGUAAGCCACCAUUUGUUUUCCUCCUCGUCAUAUCCUUAGUUUCUCCCUGCUGUUUAUCAUUUUUUAGUUCCUUAGAUUUUUGGAUCUUCUUAGCCCCUCCAUCUACUUCCAUUUCAUCAUUACUGUCAUACAUGUCCAAGACAUCCUGCUCUUCUGCUUCAGCAAAAGCAUCUUGAGUAAACCACAUCUUCACAAUCUCCUCCUGAGUAGGUGCAUCCUCAAGGGGCACAACAAGAGGGUUGACUUCAUUAUCUUCCAUGUCACUCUCAGAGUCUUGAGCAGAAUGAAUCAUUGUGCUAUCAUCAUUGCCAUCCUGAAAAAGAAAGAGCAGCACUACCAUUAAUGCAAAGAAAGACAGAAAAGAAAAACUUCUGAGUAACUUGAAGAAGCCAUGUUAAAAAACAUCCCACUUUGUACACAUUUUUUAGAUGAUUUAUGAAAGGUAAUUGGAAAAUUUAAGAUAAUGAUCAAAAUUUGAUUCAAUCCUUUUAUGUAAUCCUAGUUUAAGGCCAAUCAGGAUUUAUUUAAAUCAAUUUGAAUUUGUCUUUUGUUUUGGUAAAAACUGAAUCUUACCAAAUUUACAAUCUCAGUUAAUAUUUAUUUGAAAUUUGCAUGCCACUUUAUUACAGCUAAUGAGUUGUUGUAAUAUAGGAAAUGAAUGUAAAUAAUAACAAAUCAAGUACUCCCUCCGUUUCACAAAGAGUGGCCUAGUUUGACUUGGCACGGAGUUUAAGAAAAUAAAGAAGACUUUUGAAUCUUGUGGCCCUAAAAUAAAGUUAUGUCAAAUGUAUAAAAUUGCCCUUUAAUCUUGUGGUCUUAAACAUGCCACGUGGAAAGUUGAAAGUAAAAUGUUACCAAAAAAGGAAAGGGGCCAUUCUUUUUGAAACAGACUAAAAAGGAAAGGAGGCCAUUCUUUUUGAAACGGAGGGAGUAUAUAGGAAGGAUAUGAAGUUGUGCCUAGUACUCCCUGGGGCAAACACAAUCCAGAUUUGGAGUGUUUUACAGAUCAAUUUUGAUCCAGAAAAACAGGAUUUAAAUCUUUGCCAAAUUAGAACAAAGCUCAAACAAGUUAGUUCCUACUAAAUCCAGCAGAGCAUCAUCAAUCAAGUACUAAAAGAAUGACCUCUAUUGAAUUUAUAUACAAAGUACUUGUUGAAGGAAACAAGAAACUCAGUCCCAUAGCAAAAGGAAACACGGAAAGAACUAAGGAGAGGAUGUACUGAUAAGAAUUUUGUAGUGCAACUUAAACCUCACUUACCUGCAGAUCAUCCUUCAAGUGUGCUUGUUUGGAUCGCUUUCUCUGUUUUGAUUUACCUUCCACUCUACCCAAAUACCGUUCAUAAGCCUCAUCAAAUAAUGCCUCAAUAUUAUCAUCAUGUCUGAAAAUGAAGGGAAAAAGAAACCUUGUAGCUUUAGAAGUUUACAGGCAACAAUCAAUUAUAGAAGCAGAUCAGCAAAAAGCUGGCCAUAAUACCUUCUGCAUUCGUCUCCAGAGUCCAGAUCACUGGAUGAAUGUCCCUGGGCAUCCUCAUCACUUUCAUUGCUUACCUCAGUAGUUUCUUUGUCGUAUUCACUGUUAUCAACAGCUACGAGAUCUUUCUUACCCUGAAAUGUUUUUUCAAAAGCAUGUGAUAUCUAGAUGUAGAUUUUCUCAAAUACACAAGACCCCAUAUGGACGAUGAAGAACAGAGAUUUCAACCAGAUUAACAUUAAGGAAAAACAAUUUCUCUGUAAAAGUCGCAUCCAGUCCACUAGUGCAAAUGAUAUAACAAAGAAGCUAAAGUGUGAAAAUACCUUGAUGGAAGAUAGAGAGAACAAAUCCUGAUCACCAUAACCAUCCUCUGUCGCAUCUACUUGUAUCCCAAGUGCCUUGCGUGCUUUCUCCUGCAAUCAGAAGAAUAAAAGGGAAAUAAAUCAGUGAAAUAGAUCCCAUGUGACUACUUCAUGAAUUUAGGAAAGUAACAGAAGUUGUUAGAGGGUACAUAUCAAUUCAAGAAACCACUCCAAGACUUUGGUCGAGUGUUAAGAGCACAACAAGUGAUGUGUGAAUUAGGCGCUAGUCAGAGAUAGGAAUCUUUUCUCUUUCUUUGUUAAUGAUAGAGUUGUAUUCUCCAGCACUAAGGGUAUGCUGGCUACUUCCAAAAAGUUACAAGCUAUUUCCGUAAUUACAUAGAUCCUAGGAAAUCCACAAACUGUUCUACUUCUUCUAUACCAUCUUCUUUACACCAAAUAUACAACACGUUAAUGCAAUUUUCUUUCACCUUCUGAAUAGUGUUAGUAAUAUUCUCAUGACACCUGAGGUUUCUUUCUCUCAAAAUAGCCCACCAGAAACAAGCAGGUACUACAGACAACCUUGUCACAGGUUGAAUCCGACAGCAGAGAAAAGCCUGGUGUUUAAGUGGAGAAGUGUAGCGGGACAGACCAUCAUCCACUGAGUUUCAAACCAAGAGCCGCUGGACUCAAGGGUUUCUCAGUUAUAAAAAAAUCAAAAAACCCUAAUGUCAAGAUUUCAACCAAAUAAUACUUAGUAGCAAGUUUAAUUUUUCCCAGAACGCCCAGGUGUGAGUUUCAGUCAUUGACCUACAGGCAAUCAAUUUAAUAUUCCACCUGGCUCUGAACUGCAACUUUUCCCAGGCUCUAGUUCGACUAAUCAGUUUAUAGCUAAGAUACCCUGAAGAGAAGAUGUUUAAGGGGGUAUUCAGAAGACGGAGAGGAGCCACCAUAAGUUUUUUCCAAACGUUGAUAACUUGAAAUGCAUGAAAACGCACUUGUUUUCAUAAGGGAAAAGCACAAAAUUUCACAAUUUGGGAUACUUGUUUGUUCAUUAAUUCUUCUGAGCUCAACAGAAAAUACCACUCCCCACAUGAUGUUUUAUGGAACACAUUCUUAACUAUGUGUAAAUAACAACAGCUAACCAAAACAGAAAUUGAAAGAGACUUGGUGGAGCAUAUGCAUAAACCUUGGCUCGUCUUUUUGCUUGAAGUUUCUUCUCUUUUUUCUGCUUUUUCUCCAAAAUAUUGGUUUUCUCCUCUAUUUCAUUGAGAACUCUUUCAUCUUCAUCUUCACCUUCAUCUUCUUUGCUCUCACUUUCAACAACUGUUGGGGUCUUUAUUUUUUCAGGAGAUAAAGCUUUUCUUAUCUGCAUACGCCACCUAGAAAAAAAAAGGUUUGCAUUAAAAAAAUCAUAAGAGGAACAUAAAAGAAUGAGAAUAGAGAAUAAUGUAACUAAAUUCAAUCAAGAACUUUGAGCAUCCCAAAACGGAAAGGUGCUAAAAAGGUUUCUGUUUCGUACUUUAAGAGAUACUUGAAGUCUUGCUUUGCAAGAACACGCAAAUCAUCACAUAGAGAUUUAACCUGACACAAAAAUUGAAGUGUAAGGCUAACGAUAGCAAGCAACUACAGCAUCUAGCAACAACAGGCUAUAGCCUAUAAUAGACCACAUGUAAUAUACCUCCUCUGUUGUGAGAGUGUGGUCUCUAAUGGCCAAACAGGCAGGAUCAUCAGAGCUCAUUGAAGAAAAUGUACCAAGGACCUGAACAGGGUUAUCAGACCAUACAAAAUCUGCAACUGAGCACACCUUCCUUAGGACUGUGGCUCCAUCUUCGUACCUGCAAGGUUCAUUUUAUACAAAUGUCAUAUAGAUGCAAGUGUGAUGGGAUAAUUCAUGCAUCUGGAAAUAGAAAGAAAGAAAUCAAUUAACUCAAAUCUUCGCCCAGAUUAGCUCUAAUAAUGACAAACCCAUUAGACUGAAUCAAAGUUAACAUCAAUCAUUUGAAAGCUGGCAAUUAGUUAGAAAUUCAAAUUUCAAGGUAAUAGCUACUGGAAUGACAUCAUCUAUUAUUGAUGGAUAAUAAAAAAGACCAGUCCCAGUAUACUAGGCUAGCAUUUGGCCAUGAAAUUUGAUUGGAUUAUGAAGCUUCAAAUCUGUAAAUUUCAAUUUUUGGGACUUCCACUCACAAAACUUCAAAUUCCAAAAUUACAACUUCAAAACCUAUGGCCAAACGGGAGCUAAGAGGUUUCACAUGUUGCCCCAACAAUUAUAGGCUCUAAAACAGACUAGUAGAAGUUGAGGCUGGAAUUUAUUAGUGAGGCAGACUAAGCAACCUGAGAGCUUCAUUAUCAACUCAGUCCAAAAUUCUCAUUAAAACAUGCAAAGAAAAAGAUUUGGAGAGUGAAAUCUUCAGCAUCAGACUGAUAAACAAACAUCCACUUUAUUUUGAUGGAACAAAAUCAGUCAUAAUCCACCGGCCUGCGAGACCAUGAAGAAAGUGAAGCAGGCCAAGUUUUAGGAAGAAUAAAGAACAAACUGCUGCGAUGCUGGGGACGCAGAAACUAAGAGCCCUCAAUGGCCAAAGGCCAGAUCCCCACACACUCACACCUUUCUCUCUCUGUCACCACACACUCUCUCUUCUCCCAUUCAUCAUUUGACAAUUUUACACUCUUUUCAGUGCUCAAACUACUUAGUAACCUCCCAACCUAGCAUCAUGGCCCAUUGUCAGAUGUUUGUUUUUCACUUUGCUAAAACUUCCUCAACAAAAAUCUCACAAGAACUCAACCCAUGUGACGAAACCAAAAGAAAAGGGAAAAAACAACUUAUUUUUAGCAAACUGUCUUUCUCCUUGUAUAAUGUCACUGCAUCUCUUCAAAUGAAUGGUCACCUAUUAUCAUUAGUUAGCCAACAAAGACGGAUUCAGCUUCUUCUCGUAAUUCAAGCUCGUAUGAGAAGCUGGUCAAGCAUCCCCAUAGAUACUACAUCUAGUGAGUUGUGUACUUGUCAAAAAGGACAAACACAUCAUCUGCUUCCCUGCAUCAGUUGCACUACAAGGGCAUAUUCUAGGAAGUGUUAAAAGCAGACUGGUUCAGUUUACAAAGUUUGGUGUCCCAAAAAUCUAUACACAAAAAACAUGUUUGUAUCAUUUGAUUAUAGUCAAUGAUGUCAUGUUCCUUCUCAUGGACUUGAAACAAUUAUUCAAAUGCAUAAAUACACAGCAAAAUAGGAUAUACCCAUCACGGUGUCUCUUCUGCUUCGUCCCUCCGAGUACAUCAAUCACCUGAUUAAGUACACACAAGAAGCUCAAUUAGAUUAUAGGAGCGCCUAUAUGUUAAGGAAAAGGAAAGUGCACGGACCUAGCAUGCAAAAGAGAUAAAAGGGGGAGGGGGUUAAGGAGAGAGUGUGAGAGAGGACCAUAGUUCAAAAACGAGUACCUUGGGGGGUUCUUUUCCUCCUUGAAAGAGGUGCUUUAUAUCAAGAAGUCGUGGAUCGAUCUUUGAAGGAGCUUUAUAUUUCAAACCUAUAAUAUAAAUUUCAGCAGAUGCUGAACGACUGGCCGGAGGUUUGUCCACCUCAACUUUUUCAAAAAGCUGUAGAUGAAACUCAAAAGUGAGGGAUCAUUUGAUCCUUUAUACUUGAAA